CUUCCCUCCCUUCUUUCAAUCCUGAUCUCUCUACUCCUGUGUUACCUCCUUCUCAUUCUCUUCCCACACCUAGAAAGUCCACUAGACAGCAUAAUCCUCCUUCCUACCUUAAGGAUUAUGUCUGUCAACUGCCUGCAUUUUCUAGUUCCUCUUCCUCCACUUUGGAAUCUGAACCUAUGUAUUACUCUCAAGCUGCAUCUGUCCCAGCAUGGCAGGGUGAUUUCCCUCCCUUAUUUCAAUCCUGAUCUCUCUACUCCUGUGUUACCUCCUUCUCAUUCUCUUCCCACACCUAGAAAGUCCACUAGACAGCAUAAUCCUCCUUCCUACCUUAAGGAUUAUGUAUGUCAACUGCCUGCAUUUUCUGGUUCCUCUUCCUCCACUUUGGAAUCUGAACCUAUGUAUUACUCUCAAGCUGCAUCUGUCCCAGCAUGGUAGGAUGCAAUGAGACAGGAGUUUGAUGCUUUGGAGGCUAACCAUACUUGGGAUAUUAUUCUUCUUCCUCUUGGUAAGAAACCCAUUGGCUGUAAGUGGGUCUAUAAAAUCAAAUACAAGUCUGAUGGUCUAGUUGAAAGAUAUAAAGCAAGGCUUGUUAUUAGGGGUGAUACACAAGUUGAGGGAAUUGAUUUUACUGACACUUUUUCUCCUGUAAUUAAGAUGACUUUUGUGAAAUGCCUUAUUGCUGUGGCUGUCAAGAAUCAUUGGCCUCUUUUUCAGCUUGAUGUCAAUAAUGCCUUUCUUCAUGGUGAUUUAGAUGAGGA
rnacentral:lncRNA from 1 species